AGGUAGUUGUGUGGAGCUGACCCACAGGGUGACGGAUGGUGAGGGUCCCCAGGAGGUUGUAUGGAGCUGAGCCACAGGGCGACGGAUGGUGAGGAUCCCCAGGAGGUUGUAUGGAGCUGAGCCACAGAGUGACGGAUGGUGAAGGUCCCCAGGAGGUCGUAUGGAGCUGAGCCACAGAGUGACGGACGGUGAGGGUCCCCAGGAGGUUGUAUGGAGCUGAGCCACAGGGCGAUGGAUGGUGAGGGUCCCCAGGAGGUCGUAUGGAGCUGAGCCACAGGGCGAUGGAUGGUGAGGGUCCCCAGGAGGUCGUAUGGAGCUGAGCCACAGGGCGAUGGAUGGUGAGGGUCCCCAGGAGGUCGUAUGGAGCUGAGCCACAGGGUGACGGAUGGUGAGGGUCUCCAGGAGGUUGCAUGGAGCUGAGCCACAGAGUGACGGAUGGUGAGGGUCCACAGGAAGUUGUAUGGAGCUGAGCCACAGGGCGACGGAUAGUGAGGAUGGCGACAGUUGGUGAGGGUCCCCAGGAGGCUGUGUGGAGAAGGAUAUUCUAAGCAAAGUUACAGCAUUAGAGGACAUGUUAUAACAACACCAACAUCAACACACAUUUGACAGUCAGUAGUUCAGCUUGGUAUAUAGUUCAGCUGCAGGUCUAAGCCUGUGGGAGUAGCUACAAAUGAAACUUGUUUUAGGAGUCCUGUUCAAUUCAUUAGAAGGGGGUUAAACUUUAUUUGCUGGAAAAUGGGUAAUUACCGAAGUGCAGGCUUGGUGUUUAGCCUGGAGAGCAGUAUCAAAAGCGCACUCGGGAGGUGACAGUGACAGCCGAAAGAGGAGCUGAUGCAGGUGAUGAGG